rnacentral:rRNA from 1 species
AAUCAACGCUGGCGGCGUGCCUCAGACAUGCAAGUCGAACGCGAAAGUUCCCUUCGGGGGAUGAGUAGAGUGGCGCACGGGUGAGUAACACGUAGGUAAUCUACCUUUGGAUGGGGAAUAACAACCGGAAACGGUUGCUAAUACCGCAUAAUGCAGCGGCACCUAAUGGUGACAGUUGUUAAAGCGGGGGAUCGAAAGACCUCGCGCCUGAAGAGGAGCCUGCGGCGGAUUAGCAGUUGGUAAGGUAACGGCUUACCAAGGCGACGAUCCGUAGCCGGCCUGAGAGGGCGGUCGGCCACACUGACACUGACAUACGGGUCAGACUCCUACGGGAGGCAGCAGUCGGGAAUUUUGGGCAAUGGGCGAAAGCCUGACCCAGCAACGCCGCCGUGAA